UGCUUUGUCAAAUCAAAUAGGCGCGUAUGAAACACAAAUCCAGAGGUGGAUAUCUAUUGACGAUAUAGCGUAUGAAAGAGAUUUUAAUGCAAUUCCAUCGGUGCUAGCUCUGUUUUCAGCAUUUGCCUGAACAGGCGCAUUUGCUGCUUUAGUUAAUUCCUUUUAAAGGUGGAUAUUCCGGUUCAUUCCUUUGGGACGGCUCAUUUCUUUGCCUUAUCAUGUGUCGACAUGUGGACCCCCUUCUCUUUUCUUGCAUUGAAUUGCUUAUCUUUCUUCGGGUUCCAAGCAUCGGCUGUAGUUGGGGAGAAAUCCUCAUCUCCAAACCCCAGCAGUAGUUUCGAGCAGAAGUUGACUUUCGAUACGAAUUCCUUCCUU
rnacentral:lncRNA from 1 species